AAGUCUUAACAAGGUUUCCGUAGGUGAACCUGCGGAGGAUCAUUAACACGUAUCCAACGUUAAACAACCCUGUGAACUUUAAGCCCUCUCUUGCAGCCCAUGAGGAACAGCAAUCCGGUAAAUCAUUGCCAAACAGUUUUGAUUCGGGACCUGUCCAAAAGGAGUUGCAAUCGAGCGGUAGAAGCAGUGGCAAAGCAGUUAGUGAAUGACAGUGUCACUGACUGUGUAAGGAUAACGUCUCACGGUUGCCAGAGGUCGAUCACCGACCGGCAGACAUGUCACAGGGUCACAACGCCCCUUAAUCACUCCACUUGAAAAUGCCCCGCCUAGUGGUAACGCGCUAGGUAAAAAAAAACCGAACAACUGUUAACAAUUGGUUCUC
rnacentral:misc_RNA from 1 species